rnacentral:rRNA from 1 species
UACAGAGGUCCCAAGCGUUGUUCGGAUUCACUGGGCGUAAAGGGUGCGUAGGUGGCUUGGAAAGUUUGAUGUGAAAGCUCAGGGCUUAACCCUGAAAUGGCAUUGAAUACUACUGAGCUGGAGGUUUGGAGGGGGGACUGGAAUUCUCGGUGUAGCAGUGAAAUGCGUAGAUAUCGAGAGGAACACCUGAGGCGAAGGCGGGCUACUGGGCCGAUACUGACGCUGAGGCGCGAAAGCCAGGGGAGCAAACGGG